GGGGCAGACCUGGAUUUGACAGCAUGAUGAAUAGGUAUGUAAGCAUGUCGGGCGUAGUGAAGCCGGCCCGUUAAUCCCGGACGCAAAAUUUUAAUUGGCGAAAAUAAUUACGCUCUUGCUGCCUAAUCGAAUCACAGUAGAUUCAGGCUUAAUCUCCGCUCAAGGAUAGUGGAGACAAGACAUCCCGCCGGAGGAUCCACCUUGUUCCAACCGGCAUCCGGGGUGCAGGCAAUACAGGGUUAGCCGGCGUCAUGCUUCGAGGCGCAGGUGAAAUUCAGAAGCUAAGGUACAGUUUGGGUGCUCUUUUCCGGGCUGUAUUCGAAAACCAAUAAAAAGCUAAGCAUGUAGAAAACAUAUUGAUUCCGUGUUUGGACCAGGGUUCGAUUCCCUGCUGCUCCACAA
rfam:Porphyromonadaceae bacterium OTH 308042 contig44, whole genome shotgun sequence.